rnacentral:rRNA from 1 species
CCUACGGGGGGCAGCAGUGAGGAAUAUUGGUCAAUGGGCGCGAGCCUGAACCAGCCAAGUCGCGUGAGGGAAGACGGUCCUAUGGAUCGUAAACCUCUUUUGUCGGGGAGCAAAAGACGCCACGCGUGGCGUUCCGCGAGUACCCGAUGAAAAAGCAUCGGCUAACUCCGUGCCAGCAGCCGCGGUAAUACGGAGGAUGCGAGCGUUAUCCGGAUUUAUUGGGUUUAAGGGGUGCGAAGGCGGCAGAUCAAGUCAGCGGUAAAAUUGUGUGGCUCAACCUCUACGAGCCGUUGAAACUGGUAGUCUUGAGUGGGAGAGAAGUAUGCGGAAUGCGGGGUGUAGCGGUGAAAUGCAUAGAUAUCGCGCAGAACUCCGAUUGCGAAGGCAGCAUGCCGGCGCCAAACUGACGCUCAUGCACGAAAGUGUGGGUAUCGAACAGGAUUAGAUACCCCAGUAGUC